rnacentral:tRNA from 3 species
GCCCCGCGUAGCUCAACGUAGAGCAGCUGUCUGGUUAGCAGCCGAUCCAGGCUCAAUUCCUCGGCAGGGGCACCA